rnacentral:rRNA from 1 species
CCCUUAGAUGUCCUGGGCUGCACGCGCGCUACACUGAUGCAUCCAACAAGUAUUCCUGUCCUGAAAAGGUUGGGUAAUCUCUAAAAAUGCAUCGUGAUGGGGAUGGAUUAUUGCAAUUAUUAAUCUUCAACGAGGAACUCCUAGUAAGUGCAAGUCAUCAGCUUGCGCUGAUUACGUCCCUGCCCUUUGUACACACCGCCCGUCGCUGCUACCGAUUGGUUGAUCUGGUGAAUUAUUCGGACUGCCGGCUGAAGGGGUUUCCUCAUCUGCCAGCGGAAAGUCUUGUUAACCCUAUCAACUAGAGGAAGCAGAAGUCGUAACA